AACGAACGCUGGCGGCAUACCUAACACAUGCAAGUCGAACGAGACCUUCGGGUCUAGUGGCGCACGGGUGCGUAACGCGUGGGAACCUGCCCUUAGGUUCGGAAUAACUCCCCGAAAGGGGUGCUAAUACCGGAUAAUGUCUUCGGACCAAAGAUUUAUCGCCGUUUGAUGGGCCCGCGUUGGAUUAGCUAGUUGGUAGGGUAAAAGCCUACCAAGGCGACGAUCCAUAGCUGGUCUGAGAGGAUGAUCAGCCACACUGGGACUGAGACACGGCCCAGACUCCUACGGGAGGCAGCAGUGGGGAAUAUUGGACAAUGGGCGAAAGCCUGAUCCAGCAAUGCCGCGUGAGUGAUGAAGGCCUUAGGGUUGUAAAGCUCUUUUAACCGGGAUGAUAAUGACAGUAACGGGAGAAUAAGCGCCGGCUAACUCCGUG
rnacentral:rRNA from 1 species